GGACUGGAAGCUCAACGGCCGAGCAGCGCCCUGUUAAGGCGCACGAUGCGGGUUCGAAUCCCGCCCAGUUCGCCA
rnacentral:tRNA from 1 species